rnacentral:rRNA from 1 species
UUUGCUUAGUACAGCUUUAUAGUAUAAAGAUUUAAAUAAAAAUUCGCUUAAAUUUUGAAAUUUAUAACAUAUAUCCUCAUAUAACAUGAAAAAAGUUGUAAAUCAUUUUAUUAACAAAGUAAAGUGCCAGCAGUUGCGGUUAAACUUUAAAUAAUAUUAUACUUUUUCUUUCUUACUUAAACCAUUUUAUCAAAAAGCUAAAUAUUAGGUGAAAUUUUAUUUUUCAUUUGAAAAAAUAUUUUAAAAUAGACAAAAUUAAAAAUUUAAAAUAGGAUUAGAUACCCUAGUAUAUUUUAAUAACUUUUAGGUAGUACUUCUUUAAUAAGAAAACCUAUGUAGUUUGGCGGCAUUUUAUCAAUUUAGAGGAACCUGCCUUUUAAUCGAUGCACCACGAUACUUUUCACUUCUGUUUAUAUCUUAUAUACCGCCAUCUUAAGGGUUAAUAUAUACAUUUUUCCCAAGAUAGAUUUCUAAUAAGUUAGGUAAAGGUGUAGACCAUACAGAAGAUAGGGUGUGUUACAAUAAAUAUUAUUUAAGGAUUAAAAAUUAAAACUUUUAUUGAAAGAGGAUUUAUAAGUAAGCUAAAGAAUAUUAAUCUUUACUGAACCUGAUAAAAAAUGUGCACAUAUCGCCCGUCACCCUUAUCUAAAGGUAAGGUAAGUCGUAACAUAGUUGAUGUUUUGGAAAAAGCAUCAAGA